AGCACUUGUGUGUAUAUCUUUGUUUAAUCUGUAACAAAGCUUUACAGACAAGUGCAAAUAGUAAAUCCUUUUCUGUAACCCAGAACUCAUUGUUGAGUAUGAUAUUUUGGAAUAUGAUGCCUACAAUAGU